UACAGAGGGUGCGAGCGUUAAUCGGAAUGACUGGGCGUAAAGGGUGCGUAGGUGGUUGUAUAAGUGUGUUGUGAAAUCCCUGGGCUUAACCUGGGAACUGCAACGCAUACUGUGCAGCUAGAGUAUUUCAGAGGCGUGUGGAAUUUCCGGUGUAGCGGUGAAAUGCGUAGAGAUCGGAAAGAACACCAGUGGCGAAGGCGGCACGCUGGGAAAAUACUGACACUGAGGCACGAAAGCAUGGGGAGCAAACAGG
rnacentral:rRNA from 1 species